rnacentral:rRNA from 1 species
CAGCCGCCGCGGGAAUACGUAGGGUGCGAGCGUUAAUCGGAAUUACUGGGCGUAAAGCGUGCGCAGGCGGUUGUACAAGACAGAUGUGAAAUCCCCGGGCUUAACCUGGGAAUGGCAUUUGUGACUGUACGGCUAGAGUGUGUCAGAGGGGGGUAGAAUUCCACGUGUAGCAGUGAAAUGCGUAGAUAUGUGGAGGAAUACCGAUGGCGAAGGCAGCCCCCUGGGAUAACACUGACGCUCAUGCACGAAAGCGUGGGGAGCAAACAGGAUUAGAUACCCGCGUAGUCCCUGUCUCUUAUAC